CAGCAGCCGCGGUAAUACCGGCGGCCCGAGUGGCGGCCACUAUUAUUGGGCUUAAAGCGUCCGUAGCCGGGUUGGUUAGUCUCCCGGGAAAUCUGGCCGCUUAACGGUCAGAAUUCCGGGAGAUACUGCCAGCCUAGGGACCGGGAGAGGCCGAGGGUAUUCCCGGAGUAGGGGUGAAAUCCUAUAAUCCCGGGAGGACCACCUGUGGCGAAGGCGCUCGGCCGGAACGGGUCCGACGGUGAGGGACGAAGGCCAGGGGAGCAAACCGGAUUAGAUACCCGGGUAGUCCUGGCUGUAAACGAUGCGGACUUUGUGUCGGACAAGCUAUGAGCUUGUCCGGUGCCGGAGGGAAACCGUUAAGUCCGCCGCCUGGGGAGUACGGCCGCAAGGCUGAAACUUAAAGGAAUUGGCGGG
rnacentral:rRNA from 1 species